AUUUGAAUGAUACCUACCGGUUAUGCCCUGGGGUUUGGCUGUCUCCCUUGUCUUUAUCUGUCAAUGUCAGCAUCAAAUUAGGGAGAGAAACAAAAUAGGACAAGCCAAGGGCAGCUUUUCUGGGAGUUAUGCCAGGCUGGCAAGAGGAGGCAGACAGCACAGUGUGCCCGCAGGAGGUCACGACUGGGUCAGAUGAGAGAGAAAGAGGGCGUGCAGAGCCCGAGAUGUGCUUUUGAGUCCAAGGACCGAACUAAGGUCAGAGGUUGUGGAGGGCUCUGGAUGGAGAAAAGAAUGGACCGUGUGACUUGUAACCCUGCACGUUUCUCCAGCUUCCUUCCCUGAUGACCCCUUCAGUGCCACAGAUGCCUGCAAGACACUCCGAUCCCAUCCCUCAGUCAUUUCGAGGAAUUGAGAGGAAUUUUCAAGGGGAGGGCUCUCGGGCCUCUGCUCCAGCUUCCCUGUACCUGAAGAGCUCCACACUGGAAUCUCCAGUGUGGGGGAUCGAACCCAAGUCUCAUACAGGCUAUGCAAAAGCUGUACCCCUGAACUACAUCGUCAGCCCUGGAUGAGACGGAAGUGAGGGAAAGAGGGAGGCAAAGCUGAUGUGAAACCUUGGAGUAGAGGCUGGGGGAUGCCGUUUACCAGUACAGUGAGCACCACAAAGGGGCAGCGUGCUGGGAGAGGAACAAGCUAGUGUGGAUGUGCUGGACAACAAGCCAUGGACAUUCAAAGGUGGAUGUCCAGCAAAGGGUUAAAAACAUCAGCAUCAACGUAGGGAGGAGACCAAAGAAUUAGACAUGGAAACAAUCAGUGAGGCACAGCUGAGACUGGGAGAAAACGCCAUCCCUGGAGGGAAACAGUAGACGGGGAGUUGCAAGCUCAGGUACCAUCCAGGGCAGGGAGAUAAUUCAGAUGGACAAAGUAGCACAGACAAAAUCAUACGGUGGUGGCAACUGCAGUGAGCACUGAAGAUGAUGCACCACCUAAACAGAGAGCGGCAGAUCUUCAGAUCAAACAUUAGCUAAACACUGUGGGACCAGAAAACCAGGUCGGUCUUGUGUUUUGAGACCACUAAUGAAGGAUGAGGAAAUUAGUUUCCCUGUGCCUCAAGACCCUGAGGACACCAGCACUUCUGGGGCCGAAUGAAGAAAUGCCAGAAGACAGGGAGGAGGACACCCCGCAGAAAGUUAGGGUGCUGCACUCAGGAAAGUAGUCAGUGUCCUCAAACGCUGCAAGUAGGUCGUAUGGAGAGGAAUCCAAGGGGCUCUUAGGUUUGACCAGAGGAAGGUCACUGAUGGGCUAAGCAGGAACCACUUCGGCAGCAAGGGCAGUCAGACCGCAGCCAAGAGAAUUUCAUGAGAAAUCAAGGGCAAAUGAGUAUGUGGUAAUGGUAAGAGGAAAAGCCACCCAUCCAGAAAAAAGGAUGAUACAGAAAACCCAACACACCAUGUAAGUUAGUGUUUACACACUCAUUCCCAAUCAGUAAAACACCAAAAGUUACCAACACCUGACUAGUAUAACAGAUAAAGAAAUUAUGACAUAUUUCUAUGAUGGAACAUUAAACAUCAAUUAAAAAGAACACACAGCUGCUACAUGCAACAUAUAGAUGAAUCCCACAGAGAUAAUGCUGAGUGGAAAAAGCCAGGCAUGAAAACCUAGAUAAUUUGGUUAUAUAAAAUUCAAGAUCAGGCAAAACAUUCAGAAGUCAAAAUGAUGGUUGCCUUCAUAGAAAGAGAAUUAACUGGGAAGGAAAAAGGAACUCAGAAAGUGGGAAACAUCAUCUAUCUUGGUCUGGGUGGUGAUUAUAGGCACAUACAUAUGCAAACGUUUCCUAUGCUGGGCUGGGGAUGUAGCAGAGUGGUAGAGCACUUGCAUAGCAUGUGCAAGCCUCUGAGUUCAUUCUCCACAGACUCCCCCAAAAACCUUGUUAAACGUUUGUAUAUACAUGAAAUGUUUGCUAAUUAUACCUCGGACAAAAUAAUGGGAGGACCAGAGAUGUGGCUUGGUGACAGAGCACUUGCCUGUGUGUGAGGCCCUGGACUCCAUCCCCAGCACUCCCAAAACGAAAACAAAAAUGGUGGUGGUCAGAAAGAGUAAACUGAAGAAACAGGAAAUCUUUUAGAAACAGCAGAGUUCCCAACUUCCCACUUUAGGCCACUGUGGACAUUUUUGGCAAAGAAAAAAAAAAUGGGGAUUUAGCUUAAUGGCAUAAGCGCCUGCCUGACAAGGGCAAGGUCAUGAGUUCAAUUCCUGGUACCAAAAAAAAAAAAGAUGGAGAAAGAAAGAAUCUAGAAGCUAGAUGUGGUGGUGCAUGCUUAUAAUCCCAGCACUGUGAGGCUGAGGCAGGAAUAUCCCUGUGAAUUUAAGACCAGCCUGAACUACCUAGCAAGACCCUGUCUCAAACAAAUAGAUGAACAAAAGGCUAGCAUAUAGGAUUGUUGAGACUGUUGAAUGCGGACGCCUUUUGUGCUCUGGGUGAAUGAUUUGGGAAUGGCAGUAUGCAGUGUCUGUACCACUGUUGCCCCACUGAUGUGUUUUGAAAUUUUGUUGUAAUUUUUCUUCUUCCUCUUUUUUCUUUCUUUUAUCUUUGAAUAAAAUGGAUUUUUUAAAAAAGCUAACAAAAUUAUUUAUUAAUUACAAAGGAAAAAUAAUAACUUUAUAGCAGAGAAAAACUAAGUAACCAAAGCUAGCAUCCCCACUCCUGGAACAAACUGACAUUAUGUGCCACGUGGAGACAAUGCACUGAGAAGGACACGGGGAUGGCCUCAGUAGUGUUUCUGCCCAGAAUGUGGAACCUGACCCUGAUCGUGAGGAAAUACCAGACAAGCCCAGGUUAGGCUCACCGUACCACAUAACUGGAUGGGGUUUUCCAGUACUGACAGUUGAACCCAGAGGUGCUCAACUUCUUGAGAUGCAGUACCUCCUCGGGUUCAUCUUUAAAUUUCUUCAGAUUAAACACUGGUUAUGCUGAGCAUGGUGGUGUAUGCCUGUAAUCCCAGCUACUUGGGAGGCUGAGACAAAAGGACGGAAGUUUGGGGCCCACCUGGGCCACUUAGGGAGGCCCCGUCUCCAAAUGAAAAUAAAUGAAAUGUUAGCUCAGUGGGAGAGUGCCGCUGGAUUUAAUCUUUACCACAAAACACAGAAAUGAAAGCAAAAACAAAAUGUCAAGGCAAAAAAUACAACGAAAGACUGAGGAUUAAAGGAAUUUAAAGUGAAAUGAUCAUUUAAAACAGUGUGUAGGACUGCAAGUAUAACUCAGCAGUAGAGAGUUUGCAACCGUAUGCAUUCAAUUCCCAGCACCUCAAAAAACAAAACAAGGGCCAGAGAUUUAGCACAACAGCAUAAGCGCCUGCUGACAAGCAUGAGGUCCUGAGUUUGAUCCCCAGUACCGGAAAAAACAAGAACAAAGAAACACAAAGCAAGGCGGUUUGUAGUCCUGAAAUGGAUGUUGGACCUGGAAAGAUAUCUACAAAGGACAUUAGUGUGACAACAGGAAAGAAUUUUGAAUAUUAACCAUAAAUUAGGUAAUAGUCUAGUGUCAAAUGUAACAUUUCUUGGUUUUGAUAGCUGCUGUGGUUAUAUGGUUGUAUGAUAGUUCUGACAUUGGAGUAUUAGGGAGUGAGGGGGUCUGACAUCAUGAAAGGACUUUUCAGUGGUUUAGAAAAAGUGCAGGAAGAGCAAUUGAGUGAAAGAAAACACAUGGAACCAAAUGUGAACAAUUGAUAACCCUGAGUGAAGAGGCUGUGUCACACUAUUCUUGCAACUUUUCUUUAAGUUUGUGAUUGCAUUAAAACAAAAUAUUAUCAAACACACACACACCAGGACCAAGAAUGCAACUCAGUGCUGGAGCACUUACCUAGCAUGUGCACACACAAAACAAAACAAGUAAAUAAAAAAGACAAAGCAAGGCCAGACGUAGCAGUGCCCUCCUGUAAUCCCAGCACUCAGGAGGCUGAGGCAGGAGGAUCGUUGCAAGUUCAAGACCAGCUUGCGCUACAAAGUGAGCUCAAGGGAAGCCUGAAUUGCAUAGUGAGACUCUGUCUCAAAAAAACCACAAAAAAGACAAAGCAAAUUAUGACAAUUUUUAAAAACAAAACAACAUUCUGAUUACACCUUUUUAAAAAUACUUUAAACAUGGAGAGGCUGAGAUCUCCACCCCCUCUCCUUACACUUCUGCUGCGGAAACCAAAGGCCAAGGCCAGUGCGGGGAGAGAUUGAUGAAGAACAAACAGCUUUCCUUCCAGGUAAUGUGCUUGUCUUGGCUUAGGUCAGGAAAGGAAAGGGGCACCUGGAAUCCAGCACAUCUGCACAGACAGCGAAACACUGCAGAGAGCCGGAGAACAAUCUGCGGAGACUCCUCAUUGACCUCAGUGUACAGAAUUCUCUUCAGUAAUAGUUCAAGCACACAGCACACAUAACCACCAUCUCCCCACCACCACCACCAAAUAAAAAAACUUGCAGCGAAGGAUGAGCUGGAGAUGAAGGUGUUGUCACCUGGAGGUGACAGCAGAGUAUAUGAGAGCAGUUGAGGUCACAAAUCUUGGAGCUACUUCAUUCUGGGUUCUGACUGAUCCUACCACCUAGGAGAUGGGUGGCCUUGGACAAGUCCACUUAAUCUCAGUCCAUUUGUCUUAAAAACCAGCGCUUUCUAUUUUACUUUACAGAGCUAUUGUGAGUAAUCAAUGAGACAAUAAAUGCCAGAUACUCAGCACGGUUCCUGGCACACAGAAAGAGCUCAAUGAAUGGAAACAAAACUGUUAAAAAUAAUAACAGGUAAUCAUAGGAAACUGUGCUUAAAGAGCUGGUUGAGGCUGAGGAGUUUCCUAGGAGUAAUUUACCAUAUUCCCUGAAUUUUUAUCCCAUGCCUAGCACAUAGGAUACUUGAUCUCAUUUAAGUUUCACAACCACCCAUUGAGAUAAGUAUUUCCAUUUCACAGAAAAUAAGACCCAGAGUGGCUCAGCUGUUUGCUGAAAAUCACCCCAAUGAAUGGAAGUUGAGUCUGCUUUAGAAAGUCAAGCAACUGUGUUAGUCACUUCCUUAUCACUGGGACACAAUACCUGAUUCCCACAACUUAAGGGAGAAGUGGAUUUUGGUUCAUGUUUUUAAUUUAUAGUUGGCCACUUCCAAAGCAGGAAGGCAUGGUGGGAAGGUCUUGUAGGAGCAAUGUGGCUCACAUCAUGGCAGAGAGGAAGCAGAGAGAGAAAGGAUGAGCUGGGGAGAGAGAUACACCCCAGGACCCCACCUCUUCUGACCAGGGCCCACCUUCUAAUGUCAUACUUACCUAUGGUGCUCCCAUGAUUCAAUCAUCCUUCAAAAGCCCUCUUAUGAGUGCAUGAGGCUUCGGGGGAAAUCCAGAUAUAAACCAUAGCAGCAACCCAAAUUUGAUUCAAAGACAAGAAGGUAGUUAUGCACAACCAGGUGUCUGCCUCCAACAUGAUCCUUCAGCUGGUUCUUGUAAGGUCCAAAUUCUUUGGCUGAGGAUCCACUGAGUUUCAGAGUCAAGGGAGCCACCAUGACUUUCAAAGGAUCCAAGAAAGCUAUUGUCUAAAAUGGUCCAGCCUGAGUUCUAGAAAGUGAG